GCCUUGAAGGUGUUCAAACUCGGCGACCUGAAGAGAGGUAGACUUCAACUCCCCGAAUUCCCCAGUGCGGGUAAACCCAGAGAUACUGGAUGCUCAGCAAACCGCACCCUGCUUUUGAACGGGUGCAUCUGCAAAGCUGGUCGGUUGGUUCAGGAUGUUAUGAAGCAGUUGGAACCCCUCAACGAGCUAUGUUUGCAGAGCAUCUGUUUUCCAACUGCAGGGUGUGCCCCAAAUCUUGUUAGCCCAUUCUGGAUCCCCUCAAUUCUCUGACGUCUAUCUGAGCAGACGUGAAAUAUCUCACAAGAGUGAAGCCCCAGCAGCUGCUAAUAAUAGGAGCAAGACCUCGGAGGCUGGGCUCGGGCAUGGACUGCCGCGGGCACAAUCCUUGCCCCAGCUAAACACAGAAGCAGGUUGGCAGAGACGCCUGGUUAGGGGGCAGAAGAAUGACUCCCAUUCCAGAAGACCGCUGGGGCUCGGAGGCUUACACCCUGAUCAGCUUUCCAGGCGAUGACCCCGGGCCAAGCCGGAUUCUAAAAGCAUGCCUUUCUGAAGAUCUUUGGAAAUUUACCCUGGAUAAACGAAACGAAUUUGCCUUUGCUGGGUAACUUUUCUUUAUGCUUAAAGAAAAAUUCUGGUGGCGGGUUUGUUCUCUGUAUUUCAGUCUUAAAAUGUUUAAUGAAGAUGAAUGGGGAAAAAAUGCACGGGCGGGUUGGC